rnacentral:rRNA from 1 species
CGGAGGGUGCGAGCGUUGUCCGGAAUCACUGGGCGUAAAGGGCGCGUAGGUGGCACGGUAAGCGUGUGGUGAAAGCUCGGGGCUCAACCCCGAGUCGGCCAUGCGAACUGCUGCGCUUGAGCACUGUAGAGGCAGACGGAAUUCCGGGUGUAGCGGUGGAAUGCGUAGAGAUCCGGAAGAACACCGGUGGCGAAGGCGGUCUGCUGGGCAGUAGCUGACACUGAGGCGCGACAGCGUGGGGAGCAAACAGGAUUAGAUACCCUGGUAGUCCACGCCGUAAACGAUGGGCACUAGGUGCCUGGGGGGAGCGACCCCCUGGGUGCCGGCGCUAACGCAUUAAGUGCCCCGCCUGGGGAGUACGGCCGCAAGGCUG